GGCAGAAGGCUGGAAGGGAAGCAGAUGCUUGCACGAUGGGCUGAGCCAUUCUGAACUGCUGUUCCCACCUGUAUGACUCCUGCAUACUGACUGUUAAACAUCCCCAGCCUCAAAAGUUCAGAAGUACGGGUGCAUGUUUCAUAACCUGGAAGGACAUCCAUGGCAAAUCACCAAGGGAUAGAAAGGUGACCAAGCCUUAUGUCUUUUAGAACUCAAAAGGCUGUGUUGUUUAUGUGUCUAUACUAAAAAGUUCACAGAGAUUACACAUAUGGCCUA
rnacentral:lncRNA from 1 species